AAGCACCGGCCAACUACGUGCCAUCAGCCGCGGUAAUACGUAGGGUGCAAGCGUUGUCCGGAAUUAUUGGGCGUAAAGAGCUCGUAGGCGGUUUGUCGCGUCUGCUGUGAAAACCCGAGGCUCAACCUCGGGCCUGCAGUGGGUACGGGCAGACUAGAGUGCGGUAGGGGAGAAUGGAAUUCCUGGUGUAGCGGUGGAAUGCGCAGAUAUCAGGAGGAACACCAGUGGCGAAGGCGGUUCUCUGGGCCUUUCCUGACGCUGAGGAGCGAAAGCGUGGGGAGCGAACAGGAUUAGAUACCCUGGUAG
rnacentral:rRNA from 1 species